AUGAUUAGCUCAGUUGGUAGAGCAGCUGACUCUUAAUCAGCGGGUCGCAGGUUCGACCCCUGCAUU
rnacentral:tRNA from 1 species